rnacentral:lncRNA from 10 species
CUGACAUUUGAGUCAGUGGACUGGGAGAGGAAGACCCACCCUCAAUGUGGGUGGGCACCAUCCAAUCAGCUGCCAGCAGAGGUGGAAUAAAGCAAGUGGAAAUAGCUGGGAUAAGCCGGCUUGAUGAGUCUUCUGGCUUUCAUCUUUCUCUGGUCUGGGUGCUUCCUGCCCUUGGAUAUCAGACUUCAGGUUCUUCGGCCUUUGGACUCUGAGACUUGCACCAGUGGAUUUCUGGGGACUCUCAGGCCUUCAGCCAUAGACUAAAGCCUGCACUGUAGGCUUCCCUACUUUUGAAGCUUUUGGACUUGGACUGAGACACGACUGGUUUCUUUGCUCCUCAGCUUGCAGCCAGCCUAUCGUGAGACUUCGCCUCGUAAUUGUCAGGUAGGGUUCUUCUUAAUGGAGAGAAUUGCUGAUUAAAUUGGUGACAAGAAAUUGCACUUAAAGAUUCAGCAGACAGAGAAUAUAAACACGGGGGAUAAACACAUCUGCCUGCAUCAAUCAAGGACAGCUGCGGUCUACCCCCAGAAAGUUAAUUGGCAUAGCUGCCAGCUGGAGCUGUUAAGGAUCCUCCAAAGAAGCUGAUAG